rnacentral:rRNA from 1 species
CAAAAGCUGGGCGGCUGCUUUACCAUGCAGUCGAACGGCAGCAUGGGUGCUUGCACCUGAUGGCGAGUGGCGAACGGGUGAGUAAUAUAUCGGAACAUGUCCGGAAGUGGGGGAUAACGCAGCGAAAGUUGCGCUAAUACCGCAUAUGCCCUGAGGGGGAAAGGGGGGGAUCGCAAGACCUCUCGCUUUCGGAGUGGCCGAUAUCGGAUUAGCUAGAUGGUGAGGUAAAGGCUCACCAUGGCGACGAUCCGUAGCUGGUCUGAGAGGACGACCAGCCACACUGGAACUGAGACACGGCCCAGACUCCUACGGGAGGCAGCAGUGGGGAAUUUUGGACAAUGGGGGCAACCCUGAUCCAGCCAUACCGCGUGAGUGAAGAAGGCCUUCGGGUUGUAAAGCUCUUUCAGCCGGAAAGAAACGGUUACGGCUAAUACCCGUGACUAAUGACGGUACCGGCAGAAGAAGCACCGGCUAACUACGUGCCAGCAGCCGCGGUAAUACGUAGGGGUGCGAGCGUUAAUCGGAAUUACUGGGCGUAAAGCGUGCGCAGGCGGUUUUUUGAGCCAGAUGUGAAAUCCCCGGACUUAACCUGGGAACUGCAUUUGGAACUGGAAGGCUAGAGUG